rnacentral:lncRNA from 1 species
CUCCUCCCUUGUAUCAUUCUGUCAGCGACUGGGUCAGGGAUUUUCUCAUAGCAGUGAGAUGAGGAGCAACAGGAGCAGCGACAGGAGAGCUUUGCCAUGGUACAGCUGAUGGGAUUUUCUAAUGACUUCAACACAGAGAAGGCAUAAAGGACAAAAAUGCAGAAUGAUUCCAAAGAGGGUGGCUCUACAACCUGAAAAGCUGUAGCUGUCACUUAGCAAGUCAUAAGCCCAGGGAAGUACAAAUUCACAGGAGAUAGGAUAAUGUGAUGGCUAGCUCUAGGUUUUAAGUUUAAAUUUCUAUGCUUAUGAGAUCUAUGAGACAAAAAUGCCUCUAACGUAUAAGCCCCACUUGUCCACAGAUAGAUAACUUCCUGGAAUGCUGGUGCUGUGGUUUGUGCAAGAUAACAAGCCACGUAUUUUUGCUUCUGUAACGUUCGGUUACCCUUAGUUGCACAAGAUGUGUGCUUGGUCACAUGUAGAAAGGAAGUACAUUCGCAGGAUGUAUACUGGCCUCUGAUUGCACAAAGGUAGGAAGUGCACAGCUCUGUGAAUGUUGCCUUUAUUAUAACCUGCUGACUAAUGUAAUAUAGGGUCAUAUUUUGAGUAUGAGUCUUGGGUAGAGACCUAGUCUGUAUCCAUGUUCUUCUUAUUUAUGAAAAUUUAUUCAUGGUCAGAAUGGUAAAUCUCCGAAAGACUUCAUACCCAUAACAAUAGUUUGUUAGUUUAUGAACGCAGGCUAGUUUUGAAUGUAUGAAGUUUGUAUGUCACUAUUCUAUUGAAGAAACAAGGUGGAUCUCAUUCAUUAUGCUUUGCUUCACCUAAAAUGAAUAGAAACAGGGGCAUAUUUUCAUGUGUCUUAAAGACUCUUCCAUGAAACAUAGAUACCUUCUGAUGUUGAAUCGCCUGAGUUGAUGUCAUCAAACUUACUUGUACAUUUUAAGUUCUGUUUCAUACCUCUAUGCCUACCUGAAAAACUAGGAAGUGUCCCUAAAGAAAAAUUGUAUUAGCCUUGUAAUGGUUGCCUUCCAAUGGCAGAAACUUAUAAAUACAUCUCCAAAGAGUCAAUUUGACUUCAUAAGGCCUUCUUCAUUAUAGUAAUCCAUCACUGUGAGCCAAAAAUCUACCUCUGUACCUUCAUUUGAAAUAAUGUUUCUGGGCUAGGUAUAUAGUAGAGUGGUUGCCUAGCAGUCAAGAAGCCCAAUAUUCUACUACAACACCGCUCACUCACUAACUAUCUAAAUACAGAAACAAAUAAACAAGUAAACAAACAGGCUGUAUGUGUAUAUGUCUAUAGUAUAUUUGCAUGCAUGUAUAUGUGUUCUCAUGUACUUUCGUGAGUAUGUAUGUGGAAGCACAAACUGAACAUCUUCCUCAGUAGCUCUUUACCAUAUUCACUGAAGCAAAGUCUGCCAUUUGAAUCCAGAACUUACCAAUAUAGGCUGGUCUAGCUAGGCAACCUGCUCCCAGAUGCCCUGUCUCUGCCUUGUCAGGAUGGGGUUACAAAGGCGCUGCCAUACGCACUGGGUGUCUUUGUGGUUUCUGGGAAUCUAAAUUGAACUUUUCGUGUUUAUGUGGCAAGUGUUUUAUCCAUGUAAUUAAAUAUUUUGAGAGUUCUUAACUACAUGACAUGAUAUAUGUCUAUAAACAGGAGGCUGAGGCAGGAAGAUAAGUUAUUUUUAGCCAUAUUCUUCAACAUCUUAUAUAAGUGGAAAAAUAUUUGUUUGCACUUUUUCUCAACAGAGACAUCUUCUCAUUCCAUUCAGAUUCAGAUAGGAAUGGAUCCUAUAUGAAAUAAUUUGAGUAAAAACAUAACAGUGAUUUGAAAAAGCAAGAGGAGGUAAUAUGCAAUUAACAGCAGUGGGUUUGACAGCCUUGGGAAAGAAAAAGUAGUGACUCGGGCCAACAUAGCCAUCUCUCAAUACAGCAGAUGGGGAACUGAAGCUUCUGGAGUGAGCAGUUCUGAAUUUUCUGUAUCUGUAUGGAGUCAUCCAAGAUCAUAGACUUGAAAGAACCCUUCAAAAUACACUUCCAGUGUAGUCUCUGAACUUCAACCAUCUAGCUAACAUCUGAUAGAGACCUGCAGUACUCUGUCCAGUCAGAACAACUUUUCUUCCUCAAGAAAGGCAUCUCUGACAUCAAGGCUAAAUGGAAUUGUCUCUUAACUAUCAUGCCCCAUCUCAUCUGCUCACUCACUCUGUUCAUAAUUAUGUACUAUCAUUUUUGUAUCUGUUUAAUAUCAGAGUCACCCACACACACACACAGCAGACUGGUCUCCUUUAUUCAUUAUGGAAUGUAUUACAGAUCCAAGCUCUUUGUGUGUCUUUGCUGAGUGGAUGAGUAAAUGAGAGAAGGCUGUGUUGGUGUGCAUGCAUGGGACACAAGAGUCACCACUGAAGCAAACACUCCAUGGUAAGAAAUAACUCCAGUAUGCUUAACUGAGUGAUGUUAAAUGUCACUGACCACAACUAGUUCUUACAUUUGCUUCUAGUUUUUAGCUCAUCAAGUGUAAACAUUAGGAUGGACAUCCAAAACUUUGAAAAGC